CAAUAUUUGAGACCGGCGCACGGGUGCGUAACGCGUAUGCAAUCUACCUUUUACAGAGGGAUAGCCCAGAGAAAUUUGGAUUAAUACCUCAUAGUAUAGUGAGUUGGCAUCAACACACUAUUAAAGUCACAACGGUAAAAGAUGAGCAUGCGUCCCAUUAGCUAGUUGGUAAGGUAACGGCUUACCAAGGCAACGAUGGGUAGGGGUCCUGAGAGGGAGAUCCCCCACACUGGUACUGAGACACGGACCAGACUCCUACGGGAGGCAGCAGUGAGGAAUAUUGGUCAAUGGGCGCAAGCCUGAACCAGCCAUGCCGCGUGCAGGAUGACGGUCCUAUGGAUUGUAAACUGCUUUUGCACAGGAAGAAACACUCGGUCGUGACCGAGCUUGACGGUACUGUGAGAAUAAGGAUCGGCUAACUCCGUGCCAGCAGCCGCGGUAAUACGGAGGAUCCAAGC
rnacentral:rRNA from 1 species